rnacentral:tRNA from 1 species
CAAGGAAUAGUUUAAAUUAAAAUUUUAAUUUUGGAGAUUAGAGAUAGGGGUUUCCCUUUUCCCUGA